rnacentral:rRNA from 1 species
CCUACGGGAGGCAGCAGUAGGGAAUAUUGCUCAAUGGCGGAAACGCUGAAGCAGCAACGCCGCGUGGAGGAUGAAGGUUCUCGGGUUGUUAACUCCCUUUGUUAGAGGAGCUAAUCACGGUAUCUGACGAAUAAGCACCGGCUAACAACGUGCCAGCAGCCGCGGUUAUGCGGAAGCUGCAACGGUUACACGGAGUCAAUGGGCGUAAAGAGGGCGUAGGGGGGAUAUCAAGUGCGAUGGUAAAUCCUCUGGGUUAACCAUAGAACUGCAGUUGAAACUGUAAUUCUAGAGUAUGGGAGAGGUAGGUGGAAUGCUUGGUGUAGCGGUAAAAUGCGUAGAGAUCACGAAGAAUUCUGAUUGCGAAGGCGACCUGCUAGCACACAACUGACGCUGAUGCGCGAAAGCGUGGGGAGCGAACAGGAUUAGAUACCCUGGUAGUC